CCAUCACUAUUAUUUUUAAUCUCUCACAUGGCCAAACGACCUAGUACUAGACUACUAGCAUUAUCAAUUAUACAAACUUAGGUAUAAUACCAUUGAUGCAAAAAUUAUGCUACAACAUUCCAAUGAAAUACCUAAUAUGUAAACUAAUGCCUAAUCAUCUUCUUGUGUAUAAGCAGCCACCGCCAAAGCCUAAUCUUGCCUACUGAUUGGUAAAUAUGGCCGCCACGGCCACUGGUCAG
rnacentral:lncRNA from 1 species